GAGUUUGAUCCUGGCUCAGGACGAACGAACGCUGGCGGCGUGCCUAAUACAUGCAAGUCGAGCGGACAGAUGGGAGCUUGCUCCCUGAUGUUAGCGGCGGACGGGUGAGUAACACGUGGGUAACCUGCCUGUAAGACUGGGAUAACUCCGGGAAACCGGGGCUAAUACCGGAUGCUUGUUUGAACCGCAUGGUCAAACAUAAAAGGUGGCUUCGGCUACCACUUACAGAUGGACCCGCGGCGCAUUAGCUAGUUGGUGAGGUAAUGGCUCACCAAGGCAACGAUGCGUAGCCGACCUGAGAGGAAUCUUCCGCAAUGGACGAAAGUCUGACGGAGCAACGCCGCGUGAGUGAUGAAGGUUUUCGGAUCGUAAAGCUCUGUUGUUAGGGAAGAACAAGUGCCGUUCAAAUAGGGCGGCACCUUGACGGUACCUAACCAGAAAGCCACGGCUAACUACGUGCCAGCAGCCGCCCUAAUACGUAGGUGGCAAGCGUUGUCCGGAAUUAUUGGGCGUAAAGGGCUCGCAGGCGGUUUCUUAAGUCUGAUGUGAAAGCCCCCGGCUCAACCGGGGAGGGUCAUUGGAAACUGGGGAACUUGAGUGCAGAUGUGAAAGCCCCCGGCUCAACCGGGGAGGGUCAUUGGAAACUGGGGAACUUGAGUGCAGAAGAGGAGAGUGGAAUUCCACGUGUAGCGGUGAAAUGCGUAGAGAUGUGGAGGAACACCAGUGGCGAAGGCGACUCUCUGGUCUGUAACUGACGCUGAGGAGCGAAAGCGUGGGAGCGAACAGGAUUAGAUACCCUGGUAGUCCACGCCGUAAACGAUGAGUGCUAAGUGUUAGGGGGUUUCCGCCCCUUAGUGCUGCAGCUAACGCAUUAAGCACUCCGCCUGGGGAGUACGGUCGCAAGACUGAAACUCUCAAAGGAAUUGACGGGGGCCCGCACAAGCGUGGAGCAUGUGGUUUAAUUCGAAGCAACGCGAAGAACCUUACCAGGUCUUGACAUCCUCUGACACCCCUAGAGAUAGGGCUUCCCCUUCGGGGGCAGAGUGACAGGUGGUGCAUGGUUGUCGUCAGCUCGUGUCGUGAGAUGUUGGGUUAAGUCCCGCAACGAGCGCAACCCUUGAUCUUAGUGCCAGCAUUCAGUUGGGCACUCUAAGGUGACUGCCGGUGACAAACCGGAGGAAGGUGGGGAUGACGUCAAAUCAUCAUGCCCCUUAUGACCUGGGCUACACACGUGCUACAAUGGACAGAACAAAGGGCAGCGAGACCGCGAGGUUAAGCCAAUCCCACAAAUCUGUUCUCAGUUCGGAUCGCAGUCUGCAACUCGACUGCGUGAAGCUGGAAUCGCUAGUAAUCGCGGAUCAGCAUGCCGCGGUGAAUACGUUCCCGGGCCUUGUACACACCGCCCGUCACACCACGAGAGUUUGUAACACCCGAAGUCGGUGAGGUAACCUUUAUGGAGCCAGCCGCCGAAGGUGGGACAGAUGAUUGGGGUGAAGUCGUAACAAGGUAGCC
rnacentral:rRNA from 2 species